rnacentral:rRNA from 1 species
ACUCAAAUGAAUUGACGGGGGCCCGCACAAGCAGCGGAGCAUGUGGUUUAAUUCGAUGCAACGCGAAGAACCUUACCUGGGCUUGACAUGUAAGUGACAGCCGUGGAAACACGGUUUUCCUUCGGGACACUUUCACAGGUGGUGCAUGGCUGUCGUCAGCUCGUGUCGUGAGAUGUUGGGUUAAGUCCCGCAACGAGCGCAACCCCCGUCCCAUGUUGCCAGCAUUUAGUUGGGGACUCAUGGGAGACUGCCGGUGACAAACCGGAGGAAGGUGGGGAUGACGUCAAGUCAUCAUGCCCCUUAUGUCCAGGGCUACACACGUGCUACAUUGGCCAGUACAGAGGGUUGCGAUGCCGUGAGGCGGAGCGAAUCCCAAAAAGCUGGUCUCGGUUCGGAUUGGAGGCUGAAACUCGCCUCCAUGAAGUUGGAGUUGCUAGUAAUCGCGGAUCAGCAACGCCGCGGUGAAUACGUUCCCGGGCCUUGUACACACCGCCCGU